rnacentral:rRNA from 1 species
GUUCAGGGGUAAACCUGAGAAACCCGAAAGGUCGAAUGGGGAGAUUCAUUCGCGGCCCGGACCGUCGGCGUGGCGUGUCGGUGUGACGGUGACGUUCGCGUCCACCGCGCCCUUCGCGUUACGAACCGAUUCCGGACGCGUGCACUUCUCCCCUAGUAGGACGUCGCGAUCCGUUGGGUGCCGAUCUACGGUCCGAUGUGUAGACCGCGAGCACUGCUCACGCUUUCGCUCGCGAACACUCGGUAACCGAUCGGCUCGCUCGACGGUUCACAGAUGGCGGAGGGCCGCGACUUCAGUUCGCGUCCGGCCCGCGGCAAGCUCGCUGAUCGCGUCGGCUAUCGGACCUAGCGCCGAUUCCGGCCGCCGGCGGCUGUUCGCCGCGGUGUUCUCGGACAGACCCUUACGAAACGCCGAUCGGCGACGCUAUAGCUUUGGGUACUUUCAGGACCCGUCUUGAAACACGGACCAAGGAGUCUAGCGUGUGCGCGAGUCAUUGGGAUAACACUAAACCUAAAGGCGCAAUGAAAGUAAAAGUUCGCCUCGCGCGAACCGAGGGAAGACGGUCGGCCCAUUACGGGCCGUCCCGCAUUCCCGGGGCGUCUCAUUCUCAUUGCGAGAAGAGGCGCACCAAGAGCGUACACGCUGGGACCCGAAAGAUGGUGAACUAUGCCUGGUCAGGACGAAGUCAGGGGAAACCCUGAUGGAGGUCCGUAGCGAUUCUGACGUGCAAAUCGAUCGUCGGAACUGGGUAUAGGGGCGAAAGACUAAUCGAACCAUCUAGUA